UAGAGCAAAGGAGACAAUUUUAGAACUUUCCUAGUAUAGAAGGUUUUGGAGAGGUUCCAAAAGGGUUGUGAAGCCUUCCUUAGUUGAUAAAGAUAACCAAUUUGAAUUAGAUAAAAUACAAAUAAUUUACUAUUCAAAAUAGGGUUAAUCCUACUCUUCCACUAUGACAUCCCCAAAAUCUCGGCCAGAAAAGACCGAUUUUCAUUUAUGCUUUUAAAUAUUUUCAGAGUAAAUCCUUUUGAUUUGAAAGAGUUGUGGAAUUUGUUCCCAAAAACAAAACAUGAUAAAACAAUGUUUACCGAAGCAUUUCAUAAAAGAAAUGUAUUUUCAUUAUAAUCAAAACUCGGGGUGUCAUGUUCCGAUACAGACCAAUAAGCAUAAACGAAUACAUUACAAGUCAUAUAACAAAUAUAAACAUAUGCAGACUUGUAAACAAAACAACUUGAUGGUUCAUCCAUCUCAUGCCCUUCCGCCACUACCUGUAAUACAAAGAAAUUGAGUGGGUUAGGCUUGGGAGCCUGGUGAGCAUAUAGGGUUUUCAACCCACAAUAAAUAUCAUAUUUAAUUUUCACCAACCAACAAUAACCCAAUUACCCAUUCCCGUUAUUCUCACUUUAAUGUCCCUAAAACAACUAACAUAAGGGACCUAGUCUAAGAAUAUUUCAUCGGGGCGACAACACAUGCUUCGGGGGUACCUCAGCAAUAUAAGUCAAAUAAGGCAACCAUGAGGGGGAUGGAGUACAGCGAAUGAACACCCAAGUUCAUUAACACCUACAGGUGGCGAACCUGCUAAUGUUUCCACAAGACUAUCUAGAAAAGUAUGUGGUCGUCAUCUAAACUCCGCUAGAUGACUAAAUCAAACAACAACGAGGCCUCUCAUCUGUUUAUUACACACCAACUAUCUACCCAUGUUCUACCCAACAUAUUAGUAGAUAAAAAUAUACAUUUGUAUACAUAGUUUAAAAACCUGUAUAGCAUGCUUUAAUCAACACAUAUAUCACAUAACAGAUGAGGCACACACACACAUAACACAUAUCUCAUAGAGAAAUAAUCAGAUCUAUAAGAUAGAAGAGAGUGAAUACACAUUCACACAUAACACAACCAAAUAUAUACACAUAGCACGUAUUUUAUAUAAAAUACUUCAUAUUAUUGUAUUUGGAAGGAAAUAACUACACACUCACUUGAUCAGAAGAUGAUCGGACAGCACUACGACUUGCAGAAGUAGUAAUCCUCAGCAGAUCUGGAAGAUCUCUUCAAAAAUCGAACUUCUCGCGGGCAGAGCUUCGGCUCGGGAACCACACUUCUCGGGAUCUUCGGGAUCUCGGGACUUUCCUCGGGGCUAGAGUAUGAUACCGGGACUUCGGGAUGGCUUUGGGGGUUUACACGCAGAGCUUCGACACAAAAACGAGAGGAAAUUAGCAUUUGAACCCGGAACCCUCGCAUCCUAUUUAUAGGAGGCUGGAAGCCUCAAUUACGCGGGGCGUAGAGCAGUACGCGGGGCGUACUGCUCCAUGUUCGUAAGCGCAUGCGUCAUCCGAAGCCACUUGCUGCGAUGUCGACACCUUCGGAGUACGCGGGGCGUACUCGAGUACGCGGCGCGUACCUCGGAUCAGAUCNNNNNNNNNNNNNNNNNNNNNNNNNNNNNNNNNNNNNNNNNNNNNNNNNNNNNNNNNNNNNNNNNNNNNNNNNNNNNNNNNNNNNNNNNNNNNNNAAGGUGAGACCAUGCUCUACGACUUUCGUUUAGACUCCGUCGGCUAAUUUUGACUUUAUUUUUAUUAAUUAUUUUUAAUAGGCCGGGAUAGAAACUUUCGUUAUAAAUUCAUAACUUCUUCGUUUGACGUCGUUUCUUGCCUAACUUUUUAUCGCUUCGAUACCAACAAUGAGAUCUUCGAUUCUCAUUUAGAUUGCUUCGGCUAAAAACCCCUCGAUGUCAAAUCGAGUAAAACAGGCUGCAUACCGCUAAGCCGGAACUUCAAUAAAUCAUAACUUCNNNNNNNNNNNNNNNNNNNNNNNNNNNNNNNNNNNNNNNNNNNNNNNNNNNNNNNNNNNNNNNNNNNNNNNNNNNNNNNNNNNNNNNNNNNNNNNNNNNNACAAUAUAUGAGCAGGUAAUUCGUUUACGAGAAAAGUACCUGAAGUGACAUCAGCUUCAUCCUUCGCAACCUCAAGUGUCAUCUGGAAGGCCCUCGCCUUCGGCUUUGGUGGAAUGUUGGGCUUUGCUGCCUCCUUCUUCUUCGGACAGUCUUUCAAAAUAUGUCCCUCUUCAUUACACCCAAAACACAUCCUUUUGUUGUUCGGACAUUCAUUGGCAAAAUGUCCAACCUUUCCACACUUGUAGCAGGUUACAUCCUCGCUACAUUUCCCAAAGUGCUUUUUCUUACACUUAUCACACCACUUCGCUUCGCCUCCUUUUCCUCCAAACUUUUUCGAAUCAGAUUUCGAAAAUUUGCUUUUCUUACCGGAACCAGAUGUUCCCUCAAACUUUCUUUUCUCACCAACCUCAACCUUGUCGGUGGUUCUUCCCUUUAUCAUGUUCUCCACAGACUUGGCAGCCCAGAUAGCUGCCUCUAGAGUAAGUGCCUGACGUACCGGCACCUCGUACUCCCAUGGAAGUCCCUUCGCAUACCGAUCCACCUUUGUCAGCUCGUCUGGAACGAUACGCAAGGCAAACUCCAUCUUAUCGGUGAAGUUAUUGGUGUAUUCAUCAACUGACAUGCUGCCUUUAGUCAAUGUCAGGAACUUGUUCUCCAACUCCAAUAGAUUUUGAGCCGAGCAGAACUUGCGUUUAAACUGCACCAAGAAAUCUGCCCAUGACAAUUGCAGUGGCUCGUUAGGGUUCAACGUCUUCCCUAGAGUGUUCCACCAACGAACGGUUCCACCUCGAAACUGACGCACUGCAUAGAUAGUUUNGCAACUUGCCUCUACAGCCACAUGUCAUAAAGGCUAACUCCAUUUCGGAGAUCCAAUCCAUAACCCCAAUCGGAUCCUCCUUUCCAUUGAAGGUCGAUGGUUUACAAGUCAAAAAGUCCUUGUACUUGCAUCCCAUUCCAUCAUUCCUUCCAUCAUGGUUAUCUUGCCUAACUAUCGGUGGGUUGGCUGGACCAACAGACCCACUGAAGUUUCCACCUUCCGAGUGCCCUUCAUUCAGUUCAGGCUCUUCCACACGAAUCGACAGUUCUUCACGAUUUUGUUGAAGCAACCGUCUAGUUUCAUCCAUCUGACGAUCCAACAUCGUCUGAAUCAUCAAUUGCACACCAGCCAUGGUUAUUGGCUCAGGUGCUGCUGCUACGACAGGUAUUGGCUCAAUCACUGGUGGUUGAUUCCUGUUUUCGUCAGCAUUUCCAACUCCACUUCUUGUUCUCACCAUUUUGAUCUACACCGAAUAAGGUGAAAUUAGAUCCUCAAUCAUGAUAGAUAUUCAAAUCAUCCUUAUCACUCCGAAACGUUUACAUGCUAGUUCUAAUAUCGUAGACGUACGCUUAGAAUCCUACACACAUAAGGUUUCUAGAUCCGGUCGGCAACAGACCAUAGAUCCGAACAAAUAAUAUCAUAUAUGGCAACAUAUAACAUUUAGCACAUAAAGCAUUUUAGGCAACUUUCCUAAAAUAAACUAGUGCUCGUGUCUAAAUCACAACAGACACACAUCUCAAAACUUCACUUAGCAUUCUAAGUUUAAGUCUAGAAAUCCUACAAAUUCCUAGUUCGCUUAAACUAAUGCUCUGAUACCAACUGUGACAUCCCCAAAAUCUCGGCCAGAAAAGACCGAUUUUCAUUUAUGCUUUUAAAUAUUUUCAGAGUAAAUCCUUUUGAUUUGAAAGAGUUGCGGAAUUUGUUCCCAAAAACAAAACAUGAUAAAACAUUGUUUACCGAAGCAUUUCAUAAAAGAAAUGUAUUUUCAUUAUAAUCAAAACUCGGGGUGUCAUGUUCCGAUACAGACCAAUAAGCAUAAACGAAUACAUUACAAGUCAUAUAACAAAUAUAAACAUAUGCAGACUUGUAAACAAAACAACUUGAUGGUUCAUCCAUCUCAUGCCCUUCCGCCACUACCUGUAAUACAAUUUAAAACUGAGUGGGUCAGGCUUGGGAGCCUGGUGAGCAUAUAGGGUUUUCAACCCACAAUAAAUAUCAUAUUUAAUUUUCACCAACCAACAAUAACCCAAUUACCCAUUCCCGUUAUUCUCACUUUAAUGUCCCUAAAACAACUAACAUAAGGGACCUAGUCUAAGAAUAUUUCAUCGGGGCGACAACACAUGCUUCGGGGGUACCUCAACAAUAUAAGUCAAAUAAGGCAACCAUGAGGGGGAUGGAGGACAGCGAAUGAACACCCAAGUUCAUUAACACCUACAGGUGGCGAACCUGCUAAUGUUUCCACAAGACUGUCUAGAAUAGCCAGUGGUCGUCAUCUAAACUCCGCUAGAUGACUCAAUCANGUUUAUUACACACCGACUAUCUACCCAUGUUCUACCCAACAUAUUAGUACAUAAAAAUAUACAUUUGUAUACAUAGUUUAAAAACCUGUAUAGCAUGCUUUAAUCAACACAUAUAUCACAUAACAGAUGAGGCACACACACAUAACACAUAUCUCAUAGAGAAAUAAUCAGAUCUAUAAGAUAGAAGAGAGUGAAUACACAUUCACACAUAACACAACCAAAUGUAUACACAUAGCACGUAUUUUAUAUUUGGAAGAAAAUAACUACACACUCACUUGAUCAGAAGAUGAUCGGACAGCACUACGACUUGCAAAAGUAGUAAUCCUCAGCAGAUCUGGAAGAUCUCUUCAAAAAUCGAACUUCUCGCGAGCAGAGCUUCGGCUCGGGAACCACACUUCUCGGGAUCUUCGGGAUCUCGGGACUUGCCUCGGG
rnacentral:lncRNA from 1 species